rnacentral:rRNA from 1 species
UACAUGCAGUCGAGCGACAGAGAAGGAGCUUGCUCCUUCGACGUUAGCGGCGGACGGGUGAGUAACACGUGGGCAACCUACCUUAUAGUUUGGGAUAACUCCGGGAAACCGGGGCUAAUACCGAAUAAUCUGUUUCACCUCAUGGUGAAACACUGAAAGACGGUUUCGGCUGUCGCUAUAGGAUGGGCCCGCGGCGCAUUAGCUAGUUGGUGAGGUAACGGCUCACCAAGGCGACGAUGCGUAGCCGACCUGAGAGGGUGAUCGGCCACACUGGGACUGAGACACGGCCCAGACUCCUACGGGAGGCAGCAGUAGGGAAUCUUCCACAAUGGGCGAAAGCCUGAUGGAGCAACGCCGCGUGAGUGAAGAAGGAUUUCGGUUCGUAAAACUCUGUUGUAAGGGAAGAACAAGUACAGUAGUAACUGGCUGUACCUUGACGGUACCUUAUUAGAAAGCCACGGCUAACUACGUGCCAGCAGCCGCGGUAAUACGUAGGUGGCAAGCGUUGUCGGGAAUUAUUGGGCGUAAAGCGCGCGCAGGUGGUUUCUUAAGUCUGAUGUGAAAGUCCACGGCUCAACCGUGCAGGGUCAUUGGAAACUGAGAGACUUGAGUGCAGAAGAGGAUCGUGGAAUUCCAAGUGUAGCGGUGAAAUGCGUAGAGAUUUGGAGGAACACCAGUGGCGAAGGCGACUAUCUGGUCUGUAACUGACACUGAGGCGCGAAAGCGUGGCGAGCAAACAGGAUUAGAUACCCUGGUAGUCCACGCCGUAAACGAUGAGUGCUAAGUGUUAGGGGGUUUCCGCCCCUUAGUGCUGCAGCUAACGCAUUAAGCACUCCGCCUGGGGAGUACGGUCGCAAGACUGAAACUCAAGGGAAUUGUAGGGGGCCCGCACAAGCGGUGGAGCAUGUGGUUUAAUUCGAAGAAACGCGAAGAACCUUACCAGGUCUUGACAUCC